rnacentral:misc_RNA from 1 species
AAGUCGUAACAAGGUUGGACAGCAAAACUUAAUGAUCUUUCCGUGUAGUUAAAUACACUGGUUCAUUUGCUGAAGCCUGAGCAGCCAUUGCGAAUGUCAUGUUCGUAGUGGUGCCGAGAGCGACUUUCAAAUAAAUAAAUACUCGAGAUUAAAUGCUAGUCGAAACCUAGAAUGUGUGUAGAUUUAUUUCUAAUAUAUAUUCUAGGCGUAUGCAACACUGCUUAAUUGCUGGAAGUUCCUAAAGCUUUUGUCGUACCAAGUCAGAAAGUGCAAACUUUUUGAUGGCUUCUACUAUUCUUUUAUUAGAGUAGCACAGAAGAGAUGGUUAUA